AGCCAGCGCCGAGCAAUGGGCAUCUCUUGGGACAACUGGCACAAGCACUGCAAGACCGGGGGCAAGAGAAAGCCCUACCACAAGAAGUGAAAGUAUGAGUUGGGAUGCCUGCGGCUAACACUAAGAUUGGCCCCCUCCGAAUACAUACCGUCUGUGUUUGGGGAGGUAACAAGAAGUACCGUACACUGGACGUGGGGAACUUCUCUUGGGGCUUAGAGUGUUGUACUAGGAAAACAAGGAUCAUUGAUGUUGUCUACAAUGCAUCCAGUAAUGAGCUGGUUGGUACCAAGACCUUGGUGAAGAACUGCAUUGUGCUUAUUGACAGCAUACCAUACCGACAAUGGUAUGAGUCCCACUAUGCACUGCCUCUGGGAUGCAAGAAAGGAGCAAAGCUGACUCCAGAAGAAGGAAUUGUAAACAAAAAACGUUCAAAAAAAAUUCAGAAGAAAUAUGAUGAAAGGAAAAAGAACACCAAAAUAAGCAGUCCUCUGGAGGAGCAGCUCCAGCAGGGCAAGCUUCUUGCAUGCAUUGCAUCAAGACCAGGCCAGUGUGGCCGAGCAGAUGGCCAUGUGCUAGAGGGCAAAGAGCUGGAGUUCUGUCUGAGGAAAAUCAAGGCCCAGAAAGGCAAAUAAUUCUU